rnacentral:rRNA from 1 species
CAUCUCUUUAUGAUUUAUAUAUAAAGUUUAGCCUGCCCACUGAUUUUUAAAUGGCUGCAGUAUAUUGACUGUACAAAGGUAGCAUAAUCAUUAGUUUUUUAAUUGGAAACUGGAAUGAAUGGUUGGAUGAAAUAUAGACUGUUUUAAUUAAAAUUUAAUUGAAUUUUAUUUUUUAGUAAAAAAGCUAAAAUAUUUUUAAAAGACGAGAAGACCCUAUAAAUCUUUAUAUAAUGAUUUAAAAAUUAUAGUUUAGAUGAUUUUUAUAAUUUUAUAUUAUUAUAUUUUAUUGGGGAGAUAAUAAAAUUUAAAUAACUUUUAUUUUAUAAUAUCAUUAAUGUAUGAUUUAUUGAUUAAUUAUUAAUGCAUAAAAAAAUAAGUUACUUUAGGGAUAACAGCGUAAUUAUUUUGGAGAGUUCAUAUUGAUAAAAUAGAUUGCGACCUCGAUGUUGGAUUAAGAAUAAAUUUAGGUGUAGAAGCUUAAAAUUUAAGUCUGUUCGACUUUUAAUUUCUCGG